GAUGACAUGAGGACCCAAGACCUUCUUGCCUGGAAAGUGAAUUCCUCAGAACUCUGCGAUGAUGCCAGUCUUGGAGGAAGACGAGGUGUUGAGAGAUAGCUGGGAUCCCUGAGGAAGGCGGCCCCAGUCUCCGGUGGAGAAUUACGAGGGACCCAAGCAGAUGGUUGGUGGAAACGUCACCUCAGUAUAGUACUAUAGAGUUUCCUUUCACCCCCAACGGCCGAUGAUUUCCAGGGGCGAAGAGUGAAAAUUGAAGCAAGGUGUCUACUGUCCAGCUGCAGACAAGGAGGCAGGGCGCCUGCCACCCUCAAGGAAGAGUCAGUUCAGAAGCACAGCAGCUGCUGGAAACCCAGGACGUUUCCAGUUCAUUCCCGCUGGGACCUGGCAAGAGUUGCACUGUCAAGGCUGCAAGAGGCUCCGGACGGCUUCUGACAUGUACAGACUGGAAUAAGAGAACCUAGCAGAAAUGGAAGCAGAGGCAAGAGGUCUGGAGGCCAGGAAAAUGUCAAUGGAAAGCAGCUAGCAUGAAGACCCCACAGUGUUCCUCCCUCUAGUAGUCUGGUAUUAUCUGGAGCUGAGAUGCUCCCAAUAUGGUUGGGACAUUUGUCCCCUCCAAAUCUCAUGUGAGAAUUUGAUCCCCCGUUUUGGGGAUGGGGUCUAGUGGGAGGAGGUUGGAUCAUUAUGGGGGACCCCUCAUGAAUGGCUUGGUGCCCUGCUCACCAGGAAUGAAUGAGCUCUCACUCUACUAGUUCACUGGAGAGCUGGUUGUUUAAAGAGCCUGGCAUCUCUCCCACUUUCUCUCUUGUU